UCUCGCCACGUCCUGUUUUAUUUUGUUAAACUUCCUGUCUCUGUCAGCUGUCACUUACCGGUUCCCAGUAUCCACACCUGUCAGUAAUUAUGUAAUCACUCUGUGUAUUUAGCCACCACCUAUUCCUAUAGUCCUUUGCCAGAUUGUUGAGUUUCUUAGUUCCCUAGUGUUUUUGAUCUUGAUUUCCUUGACCGUCGUUUCCUGCCUGAACCUGGACUAACCAACUGACCUCUGACACGUUCUGUGGUCCUGGAGAGUCCGGUCCAUCAGGUGCUGGAGAGGCAACCUGUGACUCUGCUCUGCAGAAGCAGGUUUGUGAAGGACGGCUCCUGGUUGAAGUAGAGGCUCCUUAAACCUGAUGAAGGCCUCUACAGGUGCAGCAUCCAUGACUCUGGAGAAUCAGCACAGAGCUGCUCGUCAGUCAGAGCCACGGAGCCGGUGACGGGUCAGAAGGGUCAAUGUUCAUCAGGACGUCCCAUCAGUCACUGAGUCCGUCACACACAGACUGUCUUACGUGAUGUGUUACUCACUCAGUGACUGUGGUUUCACGACAGUGAUGGUGUUUCUGCUGCUGGACUGAAUAACUGUGGGAAACUGAAGCUGCACUGGAAUAAAUGACACAUGUUGGACGGGUCCAAACGAUAAUAACCAUCUGUUAUGGCUGUUGUUUACUUUGGUUGUACAGGAAAAUAUAUUUCUCUAUUCAUCUUCUGUUGUAGACGUCGUAUAGCGCCGUCCCAGCGGUCUUCUACCAGGACGACGUCUUCAUCGGCACCAGCUCCACAGGAACCCUGUCUCUGCUCAGGGUCUCUAAGACCCAUGAAGGCCUGUACAGGUGUCAGGUGUCUGGAGCUGGACGGUCAGCGGGCGGAGGCUGCUUGUCACAGAGACCCGGUUCUGCUCAGACCGCCUCUAUCGUCUCCACCUGGUCAGAGCAGCUUCCACCGUCGUCAUGGUGAUUCUGCAGCUGCUGCUGCUGCUGCGGCUUCACUGUGGCAAACGCAACAGAAAACAGCUAAAUACAAACACUGGAGCUCAUUGAUACGAGUGUUAAAAUACACAGUGAGCGUCGUCUCCUCUGGUCAGCGAUUAUUGAGAAACACAAACCACACGACGCCACUAACACAUGCAUUAGAGUCUGUGAACGCAUCACAUGAUGAUCAACUGAUGCUUCUUAACAUAAUAAGCUUUUUAUUUUUCAUGUGCAUCAAUAAAAGGUUAAAGUCA